CAGGUUCUUGAUUCUCUUCUUACAAUUCAAAUGUUGACUUCUGCUUGUUUCUUCUUGCUCAAUGUAAUUAGUCUUCUGCAGGUCCCAAUGACUGCAUUGGGUGUGCUUUUGAUGGACAAAUCUGGACCACGGCCACUUCUGCUGGUUUCUUCUGCUGGAACAUGCCUAGGUUGCCUUCUUGUGGGGAUAUCAUACAUCUUCCAGGACCUUCAACAAUGGAAAGAGGCCACUCCCCUUUUGGUGCUUGUUGGCAUACUGGU